GCAGCGAGGGGAAGCGGGCAGGAUGCGGAGGGUGGCCGUGGUGGUGUGCCUCGUGUCUGUGGCCGCCACGCUCACACUCCCCCCCACCGGCAGCCACUACCCCCGCAGACAGGGCUCUGAACACAAGACUCCGCCCUGGCAGAGGCAGCGGCCCACACACCAGGUCAGAAAACCUUCCCUGCAGGAGGUUCCGAGGGAGGGGCAGCAACAGCAACAGCAGCAUCACAACAAGAACAGCCUCUCCGUGGGGGUCGUGUUGCCUAGCUCGUCUUUCCACGUGCGGAAGUACAACAGGGCGCUCAAGGACUCGAUCAUCACCAUGCAGCGGGACCCAAGCCUCCAGCGGAUCUUCCAGCACUACCACUUCACCUUCGACGAGGUUAUUCUGGCGACCAUGCUGCCCUCCUCAAGCCCAACCCGGAUUCUGGAGACACUCUGCGACAAAUUCCUGCCCAAGAACGUGUCGGCCAUCCUGUACCUGUUCAACUCGGAGACCUACGGGCGCUCCACGGCCUCGGUGCAGUACUUCUUCCAGCUGGCCGGCUACCUGGGCAUCCCCGUCAUCGCCUGGAAUGCAGACAACUCAGGCCUCGAACGGCGCACCUCCAGCCCACAGCUCCAGUUAGCGCCGUCUAUCGAGCACCAGGCGGCCGCUAUGCUUUCUAUCCUUCAGCGGUACUCGUGGCCGAAGUUCGCAGUGGUCACCUCCCUCAUCGCGGGGCAUAACGACUUCAUCCAGGCCCUUCGCGACCUCAUCCUGGAGCUCCCCGCCAAGAGGUCCGGGCAGGAGUUCACCAUGACCAACACCGUACGCGUGAGUGACCCCGAUACGGACCUGGGCAUCUUGGUGAGCUCGGAGGCGCGCAUCCUCUUUCUCUAUUCCACCCGCUCCGAGGCCGCCGCUAUCAUGCACAGCGCCGGGCAACUCGGACUCACAGGCACCAAUUACCUGUGGAUCGUCACCCAGAGUGUCAUCCAGAGCAACGCGGACGCUCCAGGAGAGUUCCCCGUCGGCAUGCUCGGCGUGCACUUCGAGACCACGGAGGUCGCGCUCAUUGAGGAGAUCGAGAACGCCAUGCUGGUCUUCGGCUGGGGGCUGCACGGUCACCUACAGGACGAGACCAGUCGGGACGUGGUGCCCAGCCUGGCGCCGGCACUCUCCUGCGACACCGGGGACGCCAGGUGGAGAGGAGGCGACAAGUUCUACAGGUUCCUCAAGAAUGUGAGCAUCGACAGGGACAGCCAACCCGGCACGCCCAAGCUGGAGUUCAACAGCGACGGGACGAGGCACGCGGUCACCCUCAGGAUCAUGAACCUUCGCCCAGACGUCUCACGGAAACUCACGUGGGAGGAGAUCGGGGUGUGGCGCUCCGGGAAGGACCAGACGGGAACGCUCGAGGUGAAGGACAUCGUGUGGCCCGGCUAUUCCCACGUCCCUCCCAAUGGUAUCCCUGAGAAGUUUCACCUCAAGAUCACCUUCAUGGAGGAGCCGCCCUUCAUCAACAUGGACCCGCCACACCCUGAGACGGGCAUGUGCACCGCUAACAAGGGCGUCCACUGCAGGAUUGCUUCGGACGAGAUGAUGCAGGGGGUCAACAUCAGCUGGGCCAUGAGGAACUCCAGCUACUUCCGCUGUUGCUCGGGAUUCUGCAUUGACCUCCUCGUGAAGUUCUCGCAGGACCUCGGCUUCUCCUACGACUUCUUCAGGGUGGAGGACGGCUUCUGGGGCGCUAUUGUGAACGGGAAGUGGACGGGCCUGCCGGGGGCCAUCAUCAACGGGAAGGCGGACAUGAUCAUGACCUCCAUCAAGAUCAACUCGGAGCGGGAGGAGGUGCUGGACUUCACGGUGCCCUUCCUCGACACCGGCAUAGCGAUCGUGGUGGCCAAGAGGACGGGUAUCAUCUCCCCCACGGCCUUCCUCGAGCCCUUCGACACCGCCUCCUGGAUGUUGGUAGCGCUGGUGGCGAUACAAGUGGCGGCCGUGUCCAUCUUCCUGUUCGAGUGGCUCAGUCCCUCCGGCUACAACAUGAAGCUCCAGCCCGCCCCCAGCCAUCGCUUCUCCCUGUGCCGGACGCUGUGGAUGGUGUGGGCCAUACUCUUCCAGGCGGCCGUCAACGUGGACUGUCCCCGCGGCUACACUGCCAGGUUUAUGGGCAACGUGUGGGCCAUGUUCGCGCUCAUCUUCCUGGCCAUUUACACUGCCAACCUCGCGGCCUUCAUGAUCACCCGCGAGGAGUUCUACGACCUCUCAGGCAUCGAGGACAAGAGGCUCCAGAACCCAACCUCCAUGAAGCCGCCGUUCAAGUUCGCCACGACGCUGCACGGGAACACGGACGUCCUCAUGAAGAAGUCGUUCCCGGUGAUGCACGCCUACAUGCGACAGUUCAACCAGAGCAGCCCCGUCGAGGGUGUGAAGGCCGUCAAGAAGGGGAAGCUGGACGCCUUCCUGUACGACGCUACGGUGAUGGAGUACCUGGUGGGGCAGGACGACGAGUGCCGCCUCCUCACCGUGGGCUCCUGGUACGCCCUCACCGGCUACGGCGUCGCCUUCGCCAGGAAGUCCAAGUACCUCGAGAUGUUCAACGAGCAGAUCAUGAAGUACAGAGAAAACGGUGACCUCGAGAGGAUAGCAAGGUUCUGGUUCACGGGGGCAUGUCGGCCGAACAAACAACACAAGUCCUCGAGCAAACCCUUGGCGCUGGAGCAGUUCAUGUCGACCUUCCUCCUGCUGGGCUGUGGCAUCCUCCUGGCGCUGCUGCUGCUGGGCUUCGAACACAUCUACUUCAAGUAUUUCCGGCAGUACGUGGCCAAGUCGGAGAAGGGCAGCUGUUGCUCUCUCUUAAGUAUGAGCAUGGGCAAGUCCCUGAGCCUGCGGGGGGCGGUGCAGGAGGCCCAGGACGUGCUCAGGACCCACCGCUGCCAGGACCCGCUGUGCGACACUCACCUGUGGCGCGUCAAGCACGAGCUGGACAUGGCGCGGCUGCGAAUUCACCACCUGGAGCGGCAGAUGGUCACCCACGGCCUCAGACCCCCCGCCAACAAGCCUGGCAGUGCUGAGCGAGCAGCGGCGGAGCCUCCCACAGACACAGCGCAAGAGAUUGAGGGUGCGGAGAGUGCGCGUGUGUGUCAACAGUGUCUCCUUGCAGGGACGGCUCCUCCCCGGCGGCGCCUGACGCCGGCAAACAGAGAGAGGUGACGCGAAACCACGUCAUCGCCAAUGAGCCCAUUAGAGGACCGCUCCUCGCCGCCAGCGGCAGCACGAGACUCAGGCGGCGGGAGGUGGCCGAGUUGGAGACAGUCCUCUGAGGCCUACACGCGGCAUGACUGGAACUAACCUAACUUAACCUGGCCUGGCGUGGGGCUGCCUCAUGCUACAGGUUCAGGCCUUGAAGGGGAAGAAGCUACACUGAGAGGUGGUGACCCUGAGGUGAUGACCCUGAGGUGAUGACCCUGAGGUGAUGACCCUGAGUCCCGGAUUGCAGAGGGAGGUGAUUGAUGCUUGAUGAUGACGAUGACCAACCAAGGAAACAAGGAAGCAAGGAAUCAAGGAAGCAGACCGAAGUUGCUCAAUGACGUGUGCUGACUAAGAGGUUGCAUGUUACCCAAGACCAUCUCGAUAGUUUUUAAGAGGGCAGGAGGUUUUUAUGGAUAGAUGCUACUGUACGAUGUCGACUAUUCCCUUCACACCUUCCCCUCCCUAUCCCCAACCUCUACCCCCUGCCCCUCCCACACCCGCCUACCCCCCCACCCCCCCCCACCCACCCCCGACACACACACACACGGCAGCACAGGUAUCAAAAGUGAGUCAGGUAUCCUUCUCAUUAGCUGCUAAUUAUUCUUGCUGAUUUGAUUUCUCACCUGAGGACUAAACGUUGGCUGGAAUGGAAAUGUUGGUACGAGAAAGCAAGGACUAAACGUUGGCUGGAAUGGAAAUGUUGGUACGAGAAAGUAAAAAGAAGAAUGUGAGGAAGUGAAUUGCUUGAAAUGGAAUUGCUAGUAUACGAGAAAGGAAGAGAUAGAUGUGAAGUAAAUUGGUUGAAAUGGACUUGUUUGUCAGAGGAAGGAUGUGAAGAAGAUGUAGGAGUUGGCUGAUGAGGAAUUGUUUGUACGAGAAAAAAAAAGUAAGGAUAUGAGAAAGAUGUAGAAGUUGACUGAAGUGGAACGGUUUGUACGAGAAAGGAAAGAAAAGGACAUGAGAAAAAAUAGAAGGAAGAAGGAACCAAAUACGAAGGAAUGGAAUGAAGAACACGGGAGAAAGCUACGAAGGAAGAAAAGGAGGAAAGGACUGAUGUGCAAUGAUAGAAGACAUUUUAAGAUGGUAUGCCUAGAAAUCAAAAAUACAAUACCUUCGAAUAUAACUAAACAACAACAAAGAAAAAAACACGAACACCUCUAAUCUACCACAAAAAAAAAAGAUCCUUCAAAAAGAAAUUGGCAAA